UACAGCACAUGACCUAAAGACCAGGAGAAUAAGAUGCCAGAGAUCCUCAGUAUCACCACCCAGAACCACCACGUCUCCAGGAUGUUCAGCACUGGAGGACCAAAGCUGAAGAUGCUUCCUCCUGAACAGUUUGGCGACAACCUGAACGUUCUAUUAGGACCAAGGACAGGUCUACUGGGACACUGAGAGACUUUAGUUUGACUGUGGAGCAUCUCCCCUUACAUUAGGUCUGGGAUGAAUGAUUAGAGCCUUUUGUGUUCCAAACAUACAAGGAUGCAUGUUGAAUGAUCUCUGGAAAAAUUGAGCAUAAUUGUUGUAUUUCAUAAAGCGCCAGUAGCUGCAAGAAGCAAAAUCACACAGAAAACUAAAGCUAGGACGUCUUCUUGUUCUACGAUAAAGAUUGAUUUAAACUCAUUUAUAUCCUUCCCCUGCUGGUAGUGAGUUCAGAACCGCCCAGAGGCUGGAGAGGAUUCGCCCCAAACACACUUUCUGAUGUGACUUUUUAUUCUCGGACAGUCGACUGUCUGCUUUCAUUCUCCUCUUUGAAAAAACCCUAAAGACAUGCUUGUCGUCGUCCUGUGUAAUGAGCAGAAAAAAGAAAUCAAACAGCGACCGGUCAGCUCUCCGCUGCAGACUGCUAAUUGGUUUCCACUGGGACUGCUAGCAAUGCAAAUGAAGACGUUUCUCAGUCAGAGGAAACAUUUCCUCCGUGUGCAGCAGCCAGGAUCACGUGGUGAAAUAAAACAGACGAGGAAAUCUGUUGUCCCCUAGAAGGUGUUGUGGCUGCAUGGACGCUGAGUCAUCCCUGGAAAAAUGAAGCGUUUUCACACCGUUCAGCACACACCACCCUUAACCGGACACUCCUCCAGGAAGCCGACAUCUGUGGAAUGUGAGCCCCGACACACUCGCUGCUUAUUGGCUUUAAAUAGGCGGCAGCUGAUGAAAACGAUGAUAAAUCUCCCUCCUGCCUGCAACACCAGCGGUAUGCUAAUAACGCCGGUGCAUGACAUUUCCAAAAUAUCUCCUCCGUAAGCGGCCGUCCGUCGGCUGCACCUUGAGUCCGUCCAACAGGGACAGAUGCUAUUUGCGGCCCUCGGGGGAGGCCGGCCGUGGACACCCUUCACCUUCCACCUUUCUCUUGUGGAGGUGAUGUGGUUUCUGUGCCAGCGGGGGAAGCUGUGCUGCAGUACAGAAAGGAGGAACAUGCAGGAUCCUAAAACUUUAAAUAAAUACAUCUGGUUAACAAGCCCCAACCGACAGACGUCCAACCUUCGACAAGAUGCUGCAAAUAGACGUUACACAACCUGAAAAGGAUCGAUGGUGUGAUCGUGACGUCUGUCCAGCUGACUGCAGGGGGUCUAAACUUAAUCUGUUCUCAUGUUCUGCUGCAUGCCUCGCAUCCUGAACAUCCCUGAACAUCACACGCCUCUGGUCAUUUCAUUUUCAUUCACGGCUUCGGCUGUUUACUUUGUGUGAAUAGGUGUGUGUGUGUGUGUGUGUGUGUGUGUGUGUGUGUGUGUGUGUGUGUGAGUGCGUGCGUGCGUGUGUGUGUGUGAGUGCGUGUUGUGGGGUAACAAAUGUAAUCUUGGGUCUGUAGAUGGCAGCAACACUCUUGGCCAAUCUGUCUCAAUAAAAUGGAAAAAAAGUCUUUUGUCUCGGCUUUCAGGGGCUGCCAGCUGAAACUGAAAUUAAUUGGGAAAUCCAGCGUGAAGCAAAAAACCCCAAAAACCCCACCUUAAUUGUGAAAUAAAUCUGAAGAGUUUGUUUGGCUGUGUGCCCCGCUACCUGCAGCAUGUAUGUAUUAUGUAUGCACCGUCUGUACAUGUGUUGGUUUGUUUAAAUCCACAGUAAACCGGCAGAUUAAUGGAGCCCAGCAGCUGGAGCUUCACCCUUAUGAUGAUCAUGACUCCAGAGAUGAGCCUCUGAAGAAGCAACAGAAAAUGUCAGUUUUAUUCCUCCUUGCCUGGUCCAACCCUAAAUUGACUUGCUGAACAUGACUGAUUGUAUUUGGCUAUUUUUACACGUUUAUCAACGGUUCUAUUAAGUGCUGACUUCACUUUUAUUUUCCCCCUCGGUGUGUGUGAGAGUGUAAGGAGGCUGCUGAUUAUGUAAGUCAUUUACAUUUCCUCCAAUUUGAGAGUUGACUGGCUCAGCGAAGUGAGAGCCUCGGCGGCUUUUCAAGCUCCCCUCAGACUAAUACCGAGGAGCUGCGUGAAAUAAAACCUCUCGCUGAGCUGCCUCUCAGCUCUAAGGAGAUGUCACUGGUGCAUCUGGUGGAUAAUAAAAAGAAAGAGAGAAAAGAAGUGAGCGACUACAAGAGGGAGCGUACGUCGGGGUAAAUCUCCUGCCUGCUGACAGGAGGCUCACAUGUGGCUCUGAUCCUCUGCAUGCAGAUACCGGAGCUUCCAUACAUCAGUCCAGCCGUCACUCACAUGCUCACUGAGGCUCAGCAGAAGGCCGAGCGGCUCCCUGAAGCCAAGCGCCUCAACAUCUGGCUCUCCAUCCUCCUCUGCUUCUGGGUCACGUCCCAUUCAGGCAGAGGAGAUUCUCAGUCCGGCGGUGUCGUCCAAGGUGCUCCAUCUGACCAGCUGGCUCCAGAUCCUCCUCCGAGGAUCGACUUGUAUUUAUGUGGAUGUGUACGCUAGCAGUCAAAAGUUUGGACGCACUUUCUCCUUUAAUGGUUUUUUCUUUAUUUUCAUGAGUAUUUAUGUUGUAGAUUCUCACCGAAGGCAUCAAAACUAUGAAUGAACACAUGUGGAACAAGAACAGAGUGCAGUCCUCCUCCAAGGCUGCUCAUUCCCCCAUAUGGCAGAAAUGCAGCAUUUUUAUUGUUAUUGUUAUUAUUGAUGAUCAGAAAUCACGGCACUAUAGAAUGUGUCCAUUUAAUAUAACAAAAUGACGUUGCGCUGAGCACAGACGUGUUAUUCAUGUGUACAUUAUGUAUGGAUACCGAAUCCUGUGUAAAUUACUCUUAUAAAUGUCUGUUGAUCAGUUCAUCACUUUUUGCAAGGCUUUGUUUUGCUACUGUUAAAAUAGCCCUUCCCUCCAUGCUUUUAUUUUGAAGGCAUAUUUUUUUUAAUGUUACAGG